rnacentral:tRNA from 41 species
GCCCAAGUGGCGGAAUGGUAGACGCAGGGGAUUCAAAAUCCCCCGCCUUUGCGGGCGUGCCGGUUCGAGUCCGGCCUUGGGUACCA